rnacentral:rRNA from 1 species
UUAUUUGACGGUAAUCAACCAGAAAGUCACGGCUAACUACGUGCCAGCAGCCGCGGUAAUACGUAGGUGGCAAGCGUUGUCCGGAUUUAUUGGGCGUAAAGCGAGCGCAGGCGGAAUGAUAAGUCUGAUGUGAAAGCCCACGGCUCAACCGUGGAACUGCAUCGGAAACUGUCAUUCUUGAGUGCAGAAGAGGAGAGUGGAACUCCAUGUGUAGCGGUGGAAUUAGCAGUAGGGAAUUCC